rnacentral:sRNA from 1 species
CUAAUAGAUUCCUCAUAUUUUAGAAUAUUCCUUCGUUGCUUGGAGUUUUCUAUAGUCCAAAGAUACUUGAGAUAGUCUUGCCUAAAAUUAGAGAGUUUAGAAGUGACUUUUAGAGAGCUUCUAACUUGCACAUGUCGCUUUCAAGUGCAAAUAGGUAGUUGGGCUCUUCCAUUUAACUCUUCAAGCCUUUGAGAGUCAUUUUGUGACUUUUUAGAGUGUAGUUUGUGCCAUCUAUGUAACUUGGAGGAGUCAUUGUGAGUUUUUCGUUACUUCAAGGAUUUAAUUUUUUGAUUUAAGGAAAUGCCUACGUACACUCGUUUAACAACACUAUCAACAAAUCAAUGGUCAGGUUGAAGUUUCAAAUAAAAAAAUAAAAAAAAUUAUGGAGAAAACAAUUUUGAACUCCAGGAAGGAAUAAUCUUUGAAAUUAGUGACACAUUCUGGGCAUAUAGGAUAACAUUCAAGAUUUCCAUAGGCUUGACACCAUUCCAAUUAGUAUAUGGGGAAGCUUGCCACUUACUAGUUGAGUUGGAGCACAAAGCUUUCUAGGCUUUUAAGACCCUCAAUUUUGAUUUAAAAGUUGUUGGUAAGAAAAGAAAAUUGCAGAUGCUGGAACUUGAAGAACUGAGGUUGCAAGCUUAUGUCUCCACAAAAAUCUACAAAUAAAAAAUGAAGGCUUAUCAUGACAAGAAGAUCUUAAAGCAUGAAUUCAAGCCAAACCAAUUGGUCUUGUUCUUCAACUUCAGACUGAGGUUAUUCCUAGGGACUAAAAUCUAAAUGGUCUGGACCAUUCAUUGUGAAAUCAGUAAAACCAUAUGGAAAAGAGGAAACUCAUUUUAAUGGUUACUUUGUUGGUGGCCCUAAAAUGAAAAGUUGUUCAUGAUAUUCCUACUUCAAAAAAAAGGAAGGGUGUUGCAAUCACUUCCAUUAAGAGGAAGGAACCAAGUCUAUUGGUUAAAACUUCAAAAGACUCCUUAUCUAGUACUCUCAUUCCAUCAUCACCAAUAGCACAAUUGAGGCAUAAGAAUAAGACUUAGCCAUGCAACUACUUGAACUGCCAGCAUAGUUAGGGCUUCCACUCCUUCCUCAACAAUUUUUGCCACUCCUAUAUCACCUACAUCCACUCCUACGACAGGGGAACCCAUUGUUGCUACCCAUGAAUCAAUGGGACAUGAUAAGGUUUUAGACACAGUUCAAGCAUCAACGGUUUCUGGACCUAGAAGAAAGAUCAAUAUUGGCUAGAGAGCAAAUUUCAAAGGCCUAUGGAAAAUAGACAUUAGGGGAAGCUAGCAAAGCCUGAGAAUUACUACAAUGAACUCAUAGUUCAUGAUUUUUAUGGUAAUGCAUAUCCUCAUCAAAAUUUUGACAAGAACAUGUUUUUAUGGAUUAGAGGAAAGAAAGUACAUUAUGACUGGGAGAUAAUUAAGAGGUACCUGGAAAUCCCUAUGCUCUUAUGUUUGAUGAAGAAAGGACAGAGUUUCAUAACAUGACGAGAGAUGUCAUAGUGGACCAGCUGACUGAGCUUCUAUGUAUUCAGGGUUGAUCCUUCAAACUAGGCGAAGGUGGUUAGCCUUAGAGGCCUAAUAGUGGAAACAUGUGAAUCUUAAUACAAAUUUGGGUGACAUUUCUCUUCUCUAAUAUCCUCCCCAACUCCCAUGUCUUGAGAAUUACAUUUGACAAGGCAUAAUUGCUAUAUUGUAUCAUGCAAGGCUAUAUGCUGGAUAUUACAAACCUUAUAACUGAUGAUAUAUUCAAGACAACAAUCUUGUAGUGGACAAUUCAGGGGACAACUAGGGCAUUAAGAUAUUCAAACUUAAUAACAAGCCUAUGUAAGAUGAAAGGAGUGCUUAUUGCUGAUCAACCACGAAAGAAAUUGAGACUGCCAAUCAUAAUGCCUAUUUGGGUUAAUUGCGUGAAUCCUUUGGAUAACGUGGAAGCCUCUAUAUUCAGAAAUAAAUCACCAACGCCUCCUACCCUAGCACCAGAAUAGACUCCUCAACAACCAACAACACCUCCACAUGAUCACUUCCAUGAGCAGAAGGAAGCCAUCCACUCUAUCAUGACAUGAAUAUCAUAUAUGCAAUAACAACUUGCAAUUUUGAUGACCAUAGAGAGUCAAAGGAGAAAAAUUAGAAAUAUGGAGGAAUUCUAAGCAAAUCUCGGCAAAAAAACUAACUUUGGUGCUUUCGAAGCGGAAACUCAGGGAAUCUCAAGCAUUGGAUCUGAGACUGAGCCAUGAAGAAUCUUUCUCAUAGAAGUUAUCUAAAGAACUACAACACAAAAGCACAAGGCAUAAGCCACAAAAGAAACCCACCUUGGAAGGAAACCUUUGCAAUUGAAGCCAUGUUAUCACCAUUGAAGUCAUGCUCUGGAAAGUUUUUAAAAAUAGAGUAAUUCCUCUGUUUUGAGAGACUUCUGGACAGAUUCUAGAGAGAUACUUUAGAGAGUUUCUUAUACACUUUCUUCUAUUAAAGAACAUUAUUAGAGAGUUAGGAGAUGAGGUCUUUUCUUUGUAUUGAAUUUUUUCCAAGAGGAGCGAAAUCUCGUAAGUGUUGAAUUGAGAUAUAACCCUUUAAAAUUAUCUUGUAAUUGG